rnacentral:rRNA from 1 species
AUGAACGCUGGCGGUGUGCCUAAUACAUGCAAGUCGCGCGAACAGACGAGGAGCUUGCUCCUCUGACGUUAGCGGCGGACGGGUGAGUAACACGUGGAUAACCUACCUAUAAGACUGGGAUAACUUCGGGAAACCGGAGCUAAUACCGGAUAAUAUAUUGAACCGCAUGGUUCAAUAGUGAAAGACGGUUUUGCUGUCACUUAUAGAUGGAUCCGCGCCGCAUUAGCUAGUUGGUAAGGUAACGGCUUACCAAGGCAACGAUGCGUAGCCGACCUGAGAGGGUGAUCGGCCACACUGGAACUGAGACACGGUCCAGACUCCUACGGGAGGCAGCAGUAGGGAAUCUUCCGCAAUGGGCGAAAGCCUGACGGAGCAACGCCGCGUGAAUGAUGAAGGUCUUCGGAUCGUAAAACUCUGUUAUUAGGGAAGAACAAAUGUGUAAGUAACUAUGCACGUCUUGACGGUACCUAAUCAGAAAGCCACGGCUAACUACGUG